rnacentral:lncRNA from 8 species
AAACUAAUUCCGAUUGGCUGGGACUGGCUCCCUGGUGGGUAAGCCAUGCUCCCAAGUGGGUGGGCCUAUGCCCUCCCAGGCCCUCUCUUGGUUGCUCCACUGCCCAGUCAUGUGAAAUCCAUAGAUUAGGGCCUAAUGAAUUUAUUUCAAUUGACUGAUUUCCUUACAUGAACUGUAGAAAAGUAAAAUCUUUUAAAUUGUUGCAUGUUGCGUUUAUAUUUGUGUUCAGUAUAUAUUCAGAUGCCUGAAUAUUUGAUUCCAUAUUACAAUAACUUUUCAGGAACAUUUUGGGGAUGUUAUUCAUGAUACUGAAAGUGCCCUGUGCAGGUUACCAGUAUAGAAUUAGAAUUGGCCAUAUGGUCAAAAAUAAAACGUCGAUGCUGUUAAGUGUUCCAUGUAAGCUUUUCAAGAUAAAAAGAUUUUGAGGAAACAAAGGCCACAUGAGACAACAUGGAGGGCCCAAAAAAUACAGUUGACCUUGUGGAUAACAUAUCAGACAAAGCUUAGUCUGCUUUCUCUAUUCACCAGAUGAGUUGGUUUCUUUGUUUUCCUGUUUACCAGUGCUUGACUAUCAGUGUACAUACAUAGGCAUCAUUUCUGUUUGUGGUUUCUGUUUCUGCUGGUGUGUGGUAACGGCUGUGUGGUUUGUGUUUCAGAUGCAGAGGUGGCGGAAAUGGAGGUGGUGUCGUGUUGUACUCUCCUGGCCUGUGUUGCCCCAGUCUCAGUCUUGUUCGACACCCUCUGUCUCUUUGGACUCUGUUUCCGGUCAGGAAGAGGGUCUGCACGAUGCCAGUCUGAAGCACAUUGGUAAUGCCCACCCCACUGCUCAGGGAGUGCCAAGAUUGGCCCAGGGAGAUGUCACCUGUGCAACAGAAGUCAAAU